rnacentral:lncRNA from 1 species
CGCGGGCGGGCUGCGCCCUUCCGUGGGAGCCUCGAGGGAAGGGCGGCGGGCUCUGCCGCGCGAUGUGGCGGCCCGCCGUCUACCGGCGUACGAAGUGGCUCCGCGUCAGAUCGCAAAUACGUAUAAAUAGCUGUUAGUGAUACCAGAUAUCAAGUUAAAAUUGUAUCAGAUGCAACAUCUGAUUAGCACAGCCCUGAGCGUGUUCCUUUUGUGUACAGGCAUUCAAGGAAGUGCAGUCUUUACGCUACUGACAUGUGGCACAGCGUCGCAUCUGGACAAGGAACAGUGUUUGUGAUAGAUGUACUUCAUUUGAAGAAGAUUGUAAUCAAAGUUUACUGUAGUACUCUGAGGACUUACCUGUGCAAGGCAUCUGUGGAAGACAAAACAACAAAAGGAAAAGCACAGCAUUCAGGAAGGUCUUACUACAACUGUACAACUGUAGAAGGUGCAGUCAUAUGGACCAUUUGGACAACUUGCCCAUCACUGCAAAGCCGCAUAUUAAACUCAUUAAAAGGAAAACCAGCCUCCACCAGAGUAAGCUUCUCAUGGGAUGAAAUGCUUUUGGCUGCUAUGGUUACUAAUGUGAUGUUCCAUUUACUUCCUUGUUCACUCACCUGCUUUCCCAUUCAAACACCAUACAUGAGUAUCUUCAUAGAUAUUGCUGGAAUAGUGACAAACCUCAUUAGUGCCAGCCAUGCAUAA